CACAGAAUGUAUUUAAUUAUUAGAAAAAAGUCCUUGAGCUUUGGAUAAUAAAUCUGAUAGCUAAUGACUCAUCAGCUGUAUUAUAUGUUUCCAUGGCCAAAAUGAAUAGAGCUUUUAGUCAGACCAUGAAUCAAUUUAUUGUGAUGAAUAAGCAUGAUGGCAUGUGUUUGCAGGAAAAACAUUAAAUGAAACCAAGAAAGUUCCUAAAGGUUACAACAACAAACCUAAUAAUGAGUUGAAGUCACAUUCCAUGUUCUGUGGGCAUGUCACCUGCUUACUCAAGGCCCUUUUGACUCUGGACUUUGAUGCCUACAUAGCGUUCUUUAAAUAGUGGUGCAUGCACACCCUUUCCUUCACUUUCUUUUGGCUGUCCUAUGCAUCCCCCUGCUUGCUAUGAACCCAAACUAAAAUGUAUAGAUGUCUUCAUUGAAGGACUGGAGAUCUGGGACUUUUGCAGUACAUUUAUCCUCACACAGACAGAAGCAUGACAGGAAAGGAGAGAAGACGUCAAAGAGAUUCUGCCAAACAGGGGAAUAAGGAUUCCCAACCCCACCCCCUCCCACCCCCUGGAUGACACUUUCAAGAAAACGCAUGGUUUGGCAGUGUACAAAAAUAUUAGCAUUGCAAUACAAAUAGGAAUGUCUGUGACAUUUGAUGAAGUUUUACUCCACUAGUUCAGUUUAUUUGUAAAGGUUGGGAGGGAAUUUUGUGGGAAUGGAUGUUUGCCCCCAGAAGCCAUGCAUUGUGCCUUUUCUAGACUGUCCCUUGUGUUUCCCCAGAUAGCUCCCCCUCUUUUUUUCUUGUAACACAGAGAGUAAUUAGCUUUUAGUACAGCUUUCAUUUGAAAUGAGCAAAUUCCACAAUGUUUUCAAAGAUCAUCUAAUAUGCAUUCAAUUUUUGCAAUACGUGUGUCUGCUUUAUGAUUAGCUCUUUCGCCUUCCUGGCUUCCAGGCAAUCAGCAGUACAUUGUCCUGCACCAAUCCUAAUGUCUGUACAUUGAAACAAAGAGCAGUGUCCAUAGUGUUGGGAAAUAAUGGAAAAAAUUGUUUUUGAACUUAUUUACUAACUUACCAUUUAAUCACAAAUGUUCAUGCAACAUGAUAUAUGUACAACUGUUUUGAGAGAAACUAUUUAUGCAUAAGUGAUCAUAAUCAUGUGUGUCUGCCCAUAUUGUGAUGUGAACAACUAAAUUUACACAACCCUGCCAAACUGAAGUCAAGACUAGCUUUGCCCUUGAUUUCAAUGGGAAAAAUCGCAAAUUCCCAGAGUUCCCAUGCAGCCCAACACUUACAUACAUUUUUAAGUGCAUCCCAUAAGUUUAAUUUUAAGCAUG
rnacentral:lncRNA from 1 species